rnacentral:rRNA from 1 species
UACCAGCACCCCGAGUGGUCGGGACGUUUAUUGGGCCUAAAGCAUCCGUAGCCGGUUCUACAAGUCUUCCGUUAAAUCCACCUGCUUAACAGAUGGGCUGCGGAAGAUACUAUAGGGCUAGGAGGCGGGAGAGGCAAGCGGUACUCAGUGGGUAGGGGUAAAAUCCUCUGAUCCAUUGAAGACCACCAGUGGCGAAGGCGGCUUGCCAGAACGCGCUCGACGGUGAGGGAUGAAAGCUGGGGGAGCAAACCGG